GAUGAAGAACGUAGCGAAAUGCGAUAAGUAAUGUGAAUUGCAGAAUUCAGUGAAUCAUCGAAUCUUUGAACGCAUCUUGCGCUCCUUGGUAUUCUGAGGAGCAUGCCUGUUUGAGUGUCAUUAAAUUCUCAACUACACUGACUUUGAAUUGGUGUGGCUUGGAUUUGGGGGGAAAAUUGUUGUGGGCUUUUUGUAUAGUCUGCUCCCCUGAAAUUGAUUAGCGGUACCUUUGUGGAACUGUCUACAGGUGUGAUAAUUAUCUACAUCUUAGACAUCUGCUGGAAUGCUGCUUUCUAAACCUUACUUGUAUUGACAAUCAUGACCUCUAAUCAGGUAGGACUACCCGCUGAACUUAAGCAUAUCAAUAACGGAGGA
rnacentral:misc_RNA from 1 species